UGGUUUUCCAGGCAAAUCCGGAAAAUCAAGGCUGAGGCGUGACGACGAGGCACUACGGUGCUGAAGCAACAAAUGCCCUGCUUCCAGGAAAAGCCUCUAAGCAUCAGGUAACACGAAAUCGUACCCCAAACCGACACAGGUGGUCAGGUAGAGAAUACCAAGGCGCUUGAGAGAACUCGGGUGAAGGAACUAGGCAAAAUGGUGCCGUAACUUCGGGAGAAGGCACGCUGACAUGUAGGUGAAGUGAUUUACUCAUGGAGCUGAAGUCAGUCGAAGAUACCAGCUGGCUGCAACUGUUUAUUAAAAACACAGCACUGUGCAAACACGAAAGUGGACGUAUACGGUGUGACGCCUGCCCGGUGCCGGAAGGUUAAUUGAUGGGGUCAGCGCAAGCGAAGCUCCUGAUCGAAGCCCCGGUAAACGGCGGCCGUAACUAUAACGGUCCUAAGGUAGCGAAAUUCCUUGUCGGGUAAGUUCCGACCUGCACGAAUGGCGUAAUGAUGGCCAGGCUGUCUCCACCCGAGACUCAGUGAAAUUGAACUCGCUGUGAAGAUGCAGUGUACCCGCGGCAAGACGGAAAGACCCCGUGAACCUUUACUAUAGCUUGACACUGAACAUUGAGCCUUGAUGUGUAGGAUAGGUGGGAGGCUUUGAAGUGUGGACGCCAGUCUGCAUGGAGCCGACCUUGAAAUACCACCCUUUAAUGUUUGAUGUUCUAACGUGGACCCGUGAUCCGGGUUGCGGACAGUGUCUGGUGGGUAGUUUGACUGGGGCGGUCUCCUCCUAAAGAGUAACGGAGGAGCACGAAGGUUGGCUAAUCCUGGUCGGACAUCAGGAGGUUAGUGCAAUGGCAUAAGCCAGCUUGACUGCGAGCGUGACGGCGCGAGCAGGUGCGAAAGCAGGUCAUAGUGAUCCGGUGGUUCUGAAUGGAAGGGCCAUCGCUCAACGGAUAAAAGGUACUCCGGGGAUAACAGGCUGAUACCGCCCAAGAGUUCAUAUCGACGGCGGUGUUUGGCACCUCGAUGUCGGCUCAUCACAUCCUGGGGCUGAAGUAGGUCCCAAGGGUAUGGCUGUUCGCCAUUUAAAGUGGUACGCGAGCUGGGUUUAGAACGUCGUGAGACAGUUCGGUCCCUAUCUGCCGUGGGCGCUGGAGAACUGAGGGGGGCUGCUCCUAGUACGAGAGGACCGGAGUGGACGCAUCACUGGUGUUCGGGUUGUCAUGCCAAUGGCACUGCCCGGUAGCUAAAUGCGGAAGAGAUAAGUGCUGAAAGCAUCUAAGCACGAAACUUGCCCCGAGAUGAGUUCUCCCUGAGACUUUAGGUCUCCUGAAGGAACGUUGAAGACGACGACGUUGAUAGGCCGGGUGUGUAAGCGCAGCGAUGCGUUGAGCUAACCGGUACUAAUGAACCGUGAGGCUUAACCUUACA
rnacentral:rRNA from 1 species